rnacentral:tRNA from 1 species
UGCAUCAACCGGGAAUCGAACCCUGACCACCCGCGUGGCAGGAGAGCAUUCUACCAUUGCGCCACCGAUGG